rnacentral:rRNA from 1 species
UGCCUCAGUAACGGCGAGUGAAGCGGCAACAGCUCAAAUUUGAAAUCUGGCCGCAAGGUCCGAGUUGUAAUUUGCAGAGGAUGCUUUUGGCGAGGUGCCUUCCGAGUUCCCUGGAACGGGACGCCAUAGAGGGUGAGAGCCCCGUACGGUAGGACCACCGAGCCUUUGUAAAGCUCCUUCGACGAGUCGAGUAGUUUGGGAAUGCUGCUCUAAAUGGGAGGUGUACGUCUUCUAAAGCUAAAUACCGGCCAGAGACCGAUAGCGCACAAGUAGAGUGAUCGAAAGAUGAAAAGCACUUUGAAAAGAGGGUUAAAAAGUACGUGAAAUUGUUGAAAGGGAAGCAUUCAUGACCAGACUUGGGCUUGGUUGAACAUCCGGCGUUCUCGCCGGUGCACUCUGCCAGUCCAGGCCAGCAUCAGUUUGCCCCGGGGGACAAAGGCGGUGGGAAUGUGGCUCUCUCCGGGGAGUGUUAUAGCCCGCCGUGUAAUGCCCUGGGGCGGACUGAGGAACGCGCUUCGGCUCGGAUGCUGGCGUAAUGGUCAUCAAUGACCCGUCUUGAAACACGGACCAAGGAGUCGUCUUCGUAUGCGAGUGUUCGGGUGUCAAACCCCUACGCGAAAUGAAAGUGAACGUAGGUGAGAGCUUCGGCGCAUCACCGACCGAUCCUGAUG